rnacentral:rRNA from 1 species
UACGUAGGUCCCGAGCGUUGUCAGGAUUUAUUGGGCGUAAAGCGAGCGCAGGUGGUUUAAUAAGUCUGAUGUAAAAGGCAGUGGCUCAACCAUUGUGUGCAUUGGAAACUGUUAGACUUGAGUGCAGUAGAGGAGAGUGGAAUUCCAUGUGUAGCGGUGAAAUGCGUAGAUAUAUGGACGAACACCGGUGGCGAAAGCGGCUCUCUGGACUGUAACUGACACUGAGGCUCGAAAGCGUGGGGAGCAAACAGG